UUUGUGAGACAGGUUUCAGAGUGUUGCCUAACAGGUUUGGUUUUUACAGGCAUCAGGCAGUUUCAUUUUUUUUUACAGAAGUGUAAGUAUGGUGAUUGGCGCAUCGUGAGGUGGUCUGGUUCUCAGGUGAGGAAUGCGCCUUUACGCGUCCUGACAGCUCGAUCACCACCGGCCAGGUGUCACACAGGAGCAGUGGGCGUGUCCUCCAGCCCAGGUAUCCACCCCCAGCACACAGGCUUGACUGGACACUGGAAAAACAAGAGAAGGAAACACUUUCACUGUAAAAGGAUGAAUUAACUGCUCCCCUCAUCUGCCUCUCGCUGUGAAAACUCAUAAACAUCACGGGGGAAGGGAUGACAACGCUGAAAGACAAAGAUGACCUCACGGCACUGACUCUCAUGCCGAUCUCCGUCCAGACUGGCAACAUCUUCCCCUCGACCUCAGAAGCGGUGGGAGGCCUCGUCUCAGUGUGGUUCUCAGCCCCCUGUGAGGAGUCCGACAUUAUUUUCCCACUACGACUUUAGGACAUCCACGCAUUCCUUCAGCAUUCCUCAGCCCUCCCCUGUACAGGAGGCACUUUAUCACAUCAGCUCCUACUCUCAUUUCCCCCCUCAAUUUAUUUUUUAAUGAAAGGGACUCGCACAAAGUAUUAGCGCUGACUCGGCUUGAUCGCCGCACACAAAUACAGUCAGUGUUAAUUGCUACCACAGAUAUUAACCACCAGCAUUCACAAGCAGAUUUUUUUUUUCCUAUUUAAAACAAACCACUUUUGAAAGCUGCCCAGCUUUAGGGCUGGUUUGUCUUAAGCCUUUUCCCUCGCCCUCUCCGAUCAGAGCGAAGCCGCUAAUAGGGAAUUGCCAUUUAGAUCGAUUGUUCACUCAGCGCUGCCUUCUUAUGGCGUUGUAAACCGGACUGUAAAACAAAUCUAGCCUGUAAAUCUGUCGGCUGAGAAACAAUCUGUCUUUGGUUGGUUUUCAAAUAAAGCUGUAAUGCUG